GUCCUAGCCCUAAACGAUGCUCAUUAGAUGUGGGAGGUAUCGACCCCUUCCGCGUCGCAGCUAACGCAUUAAAUGAGCCGCCUGGGGAGUACGGCCGCAAGGUUGAAACUCAAAGGAAUUGACGGGGGCCCCGCACAAGCGGUGGAACAUGUGGUUUAAUUCGACGCAACGCGAAGAACCUUACCCGGGCUUGAACUACGGAUGGUAAGUCCCAAGAAACUGGGGCUGACCCGCAAGGGAGUCCGCAGAGGUGCUGCAUGGUUGUCGU
rnacentral:rRNA from 1 species